rnacentral:rRNA from 1 species
UCGACCGCCUGGGGAGUACGGCCGCAAGGUUAAAACUCAAAUGAAUUGACGGGGGCCCGCACAAGCGGUGGAGCAUGUGGUUUAAUUCGAUGCAACGCGAAGAACCUUACCUGGUCUUGACAUCCACGGAAGUUUUCAGAGAUGAGAAUGUGCCUUCGGGAACCGUGAGACAGGUGCUGCAUGGCUGUCGUCAGCUCGUGUUGUGAAAUGUUGGGUUAAGUCCCGCAACGAGCGCAACCCUUAUCCUUUGUUGCCAGCGGUCCGGCCGGGAACUCAAAGGAGACUGCCAGUGAUAAACUGGAGGAAGGUGGGGAUGACGUCAAGUCAUCAUGGCCCUUACGACCAGGGCUACACACGUGCUACAAUGGCGCAUACAAAGAGAAGCGACCUCGCGAGAGCAAGCGGACCUCAUAAAGUGCGUCGUAGUCCGGAUUGGAGUCUGCAACUCGACUCCAUGAAGUCGGAAUCGCUAGUAAUCGUGGAUCAGAAUGCCACGGUGAAUACGUUCCCGGGCCUUGUACACACCGCCCGUCACACCAUGGGAGUGGGUUGCAAAAGAAGUAGGUAGCUUAACCUUCGGGAGGGCGCUUACCACUUUGUGAUUCAUGACUGGGGUGAAGUCGUAACAAGGUAACCGUAGGGGAACCUGCGGUUGGAUCACCUCCUUACCUUAAAGAA